rnacentral:rRNA from 1 species
UACAGAGGGUGCGAGCGUUAAUCGGAAUUACUGGGCGUAAAGCGCGCGUAGGCGGCUUUGCAAGUCGGGUGUGAAAUCCCCAGGCUUAACCUGGGAACUGCAUUCGAGACUGCAUUGCUAGAGUAUGGGAGAGGGAAGUGGAAUUUCCGGUGUAGCGGUGAAAUGCGUUGAUAUCCUAAGGAACACCGGUGGCGAAGGCGGCUUACUGGGUCUCUACUGACGCUGAUGCACGAAAGCCAGGGUAGCGAACGGG